rnacentral:rRNA from 1 species
UCCUGGCUCAGAUUGAACGCUGGCGGCAUGCCUUACACAUGCAAGUCGAACGGCAGCACGGACUUCGGUCUGGUGGCGAGUGGCGAACGGGUGAGUAAUGUAUCGGAACGUACCUUUCAGUGGGGAUAACGUAGCGAAAGUUACGCUAAUACCGCAUAUUCUGUGAGCAGGAAAGCAGGGGAUCGCAAGACCUUGCGCUGAUUGAGCGGCCGAUAUCAGAUUAGCUAGUUGGUGAGGUAAAGGCUCACCAAGGCGACGAUCUGUAGCGGGGUCUGAGAGGAUGAUCCGCCACACUGGAACUGAGACACGGUCCAGACUCCUACGGGAGGCAGCAGUGGGGAAUUUUUGGACAAUGGGGGCAACCCUGAUCCAGCCAUGCCGCGUGAGUGAAGAAGGCCUUCGGGUUGUAAAGCUCUUUCGGCCGGGAAGAAAUCGCAUGGGCUAAUACCCUGUGCGGAUGACGGUACCGGCAUAAGAAGCACCGGCUAACUACGUG